GAGAAAAGGCCAUGACAAAUCUAAGGCAAGCUUUGUACACAGGUAUCCUACUUAUACAUUCCUGGAAGAUCAGAUCCAUCAAUCUAUGUUUCUUUUUUCUUCCAUGUUCUCUUUUCUCGAUGCAUAUUUAACAUUCAAUUUUGUCCCCUAUAUAAAAGUUGAUGCUUAUCACAUUUCAAAAACUGUUUGCAGCCACACUACGAAAUGAAUUAGCUUGGUUUGAAAAGCCCGAAAAUAGUAUUGGAUCACUUACAUCAAAGAUAGCCAGUGACACAUCCACAGUGAAGAUCAUAAUAUCUGACCGCAUGUCCGUCAUUGUCCAGUGCAUUUCGUCCAUAUUGAUUGCAACAACUGUCAGCAUGAAAGUUAAUUGGAGAAUGGGUCUGGUAGCCUGGGCGGUGAU
rnacentral:lncRNA from 1 species